AGCGAACGCUGGCGGCAGGCCUAAUACAUGCAAGUCGAACGGCUCUUCGGAGCAGUGGCGGACGGGUGAGUAACGCGUGGGAAUGUGCCCUUUGGUACGGAACAACACAGGAAAACUUGUGCUAAUACCGUAUGUGCCCUUCGGGGGAAAGAUUUAUCGCCAUUGGAGCAGCCCGCGUUGGAUUAGGUAGUGGGUAAGGUAAAGGCUCACCAAGCCUACGAUCCAUAGAUGGUCUGAGAGGAUGACCAGCCACACUGGGACGGAGAAACGGCCCAGACUCCUACGGGAGGCAGCAGUAGGGAAUCUUGCGCAAUGGGCGAAAGCCUGACACAGCCAUGCCGCGUGUAUGAUGAAGGUCUUAGGAUUGUAAAAUACUUUCACCGGGGAAGAUAAUGACGGUACCCGGAGAAGAAGCCCCGGCUAACUUCGUGCCAGCAGCCGCCGUAAAAC
rnacentral:rRNA from 1 species